UAUAAAGAGCAAAAAGGCCUAUCGGCUUUAAUGAGAUAUCACAGCCACUUAUGGGAGGUGAGUAACUUUUUAUGUGUUUUCAAAGGAUAAAAAUGAACAUCAUGAUCUCGGGUUCCUGUCUGUCAUUUGAGCUGGGACAUCAAUUAAUGUGUGAGAAAUCAAAAUCUUCAUGCAACUUGUGAACUAGACAGUUACUGAGAAAAUUCAUUACUGCACUAAUGAGCAAAAAAUAAAGCUAGAAUUUGGUUUUGUCCAAGAUAUUGGAAAUAAAAAAGGACAAUUAGGAGUCAUACAACUUCCACAGCUCUGUGCUGAAUAUUAAUGUUUGCUUAUUAUGUGUGUGGGUUUACUUAGCUUACUUUAGCUACCUUUGCAAUAUAAUAAACACAUUCUAAAUUAUCUGUAUGAUCCUUUUCAGUGAAUGGGUGCCAUCAAAAUGAGAGUCCAAACAGCUGAUAAAAUGGUCAUGAGAAACUGUAUGUUUGUAAUUCAAACAAAUUCAUCAUAAACUGUCGCUUCUGGCUAAAAUACAGUGAUCUGUGCAUAUUUCUCACCUGAUUCAGUCGAAACAACCUUUUUCACUGGGUAAAGCAAUAUUAUGGACUCUUUUUGGCCAAAAGCAAAGUUUUAAAGUUUAAAACGUCCUAAUGUUGAAUUUGUUUCUUAGAAAAACACAGCUUUUCACUUCACAAGAUGUUAACUGAUGGACUGUAGAGUUGUGCAGAUUACUUGUGAAUUAUUGUGAUGUCUUUAUCAGCUGUUUGGACUCUCAUUCUGACGGCACCCAUUCACUGCAGAGGAUCCAUUGGUGAGCAAGUGAUGCAAUGCUAUAUUCUCCAAAUCUGAUGAAGAAACGAACUCAUCUACAUCUUGGAUGGCCUAUGGGUCCCUAGGCAGUGUUGACUGCAAUGGCAUCAUACACAGACAAAACUUAAGAUUUUGAGAUGACAGUAUGGAGGUGGACAGCAAACAGUAACGUCUUUUGGAGGUGCAGUCCUGAACGUCCAGGGCUUGACACGGCUCAUUGCUUCACCUUCAACAUCUCACACACUAGCAGAACUCCCACACUCCCGUCAACAACACCUACAGGAAAGAAAAAUCACUUUCACUUUAAUGUCUCAAUUGUUUAUCCUGUAGAGCGAGAGAGAGUUUUUACUUUAUUUUUAAACUUUCAAAAGAAUUUUGAUCUUGCGUACUGAUGUAAAACUCCUGAAACUUUUGUGAAUGUGCGGUGAAAAUACACAGAAGAGAAGAAAUUGUUUUUAUUUUUGUUGCUCACAAAAAGUAUUCUCAUAGCUUCAUAAAAUUAAGGUAUUUUAACAAUGUUUUUACUACCUUUCUGGGCCUUGAACGUGGUAGUUGUGUUGCUGUCUGUGCAGGGUAAAAAAGCUCUCAGAUUUCAUCAUAAAAAUCUUAAUUUGUGUUUUGAAGGUCUUAAGGGUUUUGAACGACAUGAGGGUGAGGAAUUAAUGACAGAAUUUUCAUUUUUGGGUGAACAAUCCCUUUAAACAUGUAUUAUAAAUAUUAUAUUAGCCCUACAGUCACAGCAUGAAACUGUUUAAACUUAUAGCAUUUUACAUUUACCUAUUUUAUCUCACAAUUCUGACUUUUUUCCUUGCAAAUGCAAGUUUAUAUCUUGUACUGCAGACUUUAUAACUCGUUUACACUCAACAAUAACGAGUUUGUCCAUUCUGAGGAGGAAAAAAGCCAGAAGUGUGGGAUAUAAACUCAAAAGAGAGAAUGACGAGUUGUUUUUAAAGGUUUAAGCGAAUAGUGCUGAAACCAUAUUGUAAUUGUUAGAAUGAUCACGGAUGAGCGAUUUCCACAUAAAACUGAUUGUGCAGACCAAACCGUAAGUCAUAGAGACUUGAAAUUUAGAGGGAUGUAGUGCUCACACCGCAGACAACAUGACCAAGGCUUGCCCCAAUCUGCCAGAUGGGGAAAGUACAAAAUCGUUUAUAACUCCUAAACCGUCAGUUGCAGGCUUAAGUUAUCUUAUGUCGUUGGAUUUCUUGGCUCAUGACGUACAAAACACACACCUCAGAUUUGAUCGUGAGCCUUUUUUGAAACUUUUUUCUUUCCAAAACCUACUUUUUGGAACCAAAGCAGUGCAGAAAGAAGUAAUUAUCAAUAAUUAUCCAUAAAAUGCCUAUAACUCCUGAACGGGCACACUUAUGUAAGAGCUCAAGCUGAGGUCACAGGAAAAAAAUGCAGCGAUUGGCCACUUGGUGGCACUAUAAGAUGGAAAAGAAUGUAAAAAUGGCUAUAACUAGGCAACAAUUUGUCCUAUCAACAUGAAAAUUGC